rnacentral:lncRNA from 1 species
UGAAAAUAAUGUUAUAGUAAUAUGUUAGAGGUAAUAUGCAUGUUGAUAAAUUAUGGAACAUGUUGGAUGGCAAAUGAAUGGUUGGUAUAUAUAUAUAGACAUAUUGUGGAAUAUGAGGAAUGAGUGCAUGUUGAUUUAUUAUAGAAUAUACUAGAUGAAUGUAUAUUGACAUAUUGUGGAUUAUGUUAAAUGACACAUGCAUAUUGAACUUGGGUCGAUAAACUCUAGGUGAAUUAGAGAACUCGACAUUGGAAAACAAUGACAUAUGAACUAUGAUAUGUGACGUAGACAAUCUAUAUAUAUUAGAUCGAGUGGCAUAUGAUUAAUAUAGUGGAAACACUUAUGGCAUGUUGAACAUUUAGAAAACAAGUAUGGCAUGAGUCCAAGAAUAUAGUAGUGUAUAUGACAUAAGUGAUAGUAAAGAAUGCAAAGAAAAGAAUGAUGAAAAUAUUAUGACAUUUCAAUCCUAGAGUUAGGGUCAUUUGAGCAUAGUCUUCCUAAAGUUAAGGAAUGGAUUGAACUUGACAUCCUCAAGAUUUUGGAUUUGAUCAUUGAUCAUACUCACCUUUAGUCCUUGCUCGAGGUUGUGGUAGCUCCCCCUCGGGCGAUGUGCUCCGGAGUCGACAUCACUGGGUUGUAGAGAGUAUCUCCCCAGAGGACGGUCCCAUCGGGUGUAGCGAGUAUCUCCCUGAUUAUUGGGAUUUUGAGUUGGUGAGUUUGUUGAGGGCGAAACCUUCGGGUUAGCCAAGAGAUUGGGUAACAAGCACAUGAGUUGUAAUAAUAUCCUAGUUGAGUAGACUUAAGGCUGAGGUGCAAGUGAGACGUCCUUCGCCUCGAGCCUGCCUUUGCGCGGUACUCCGCGAAUGAUUGACUCGAGACCGAGUCGGGUGGGUAGUUGAUAAAGGUAAAUGAGACCUUAUGAUUAAAAUGGUAAAUGACAGAAAACCUUAAAUGUCAAUUGGAUGAAAGUAGUAAUCGAUUGAAUUACUAAUUGAUUGUAUAGUCGCAUCAUUGUAUGAUCUUCAUAUUGUAUUCGUGAGGCAAUGCAUGGUUUCAUUUGUUGCAUAAUCAAGAUAUAUAUCUAUCUGUUUAUUGAACUAACUUGCAGUUGCCUCCCUUGGACCUAUUGGUCGAGCUUUUCCCUUGGGUGGCCGUACCUACUGGAAACCAUGGAGUUGGUUCUCACCCCACGUGGUUUUGGAGUGUUACAGGUUCACACGUGAGCGGCGCGGCGGCGCGAGGCGAGGGCGUAGCAUCAUAGUUAGCGCCCUACCACCGAGACCAGAGAUAGCGGUACCCUGAGUCGGCUUGUUUAGGAUCGUAGAAAAUGAAAAGAAUCAAGUUGUAAUAAUCAUGUUAAAUCGGAUUGUAUUUGGAAGUUGAAUGUAAUAAGUAUUUGGGAUGUAAAAUGUAUGAAUGUGAAUGCUUGUAAUAACAAGAUUAUGUUUUUGAUACUUCCUUAUGCAAUCUUUGAUUGAAAUGUGUUCCUGGUUGAAACUUUGUACAUUGUAUUGAUUGCGACGCCUUGAAUGUAUAGGGGAGACUCUGUCCGCGGUACCGGAAAAACCCUAUUCGUUUGGCGGUCUGUUACGGCGCCGCGACCCGGCCAAAUAGGCGGGCGGUCGUGGGGCGUGACACAUCCCUUAAAUCAUACUAUUCAACCAACCACCCACUCAAUCCUAGGGGACCACUAUCAUCCUAAUCGCACAUCUAAUGCCCGAAAAUUUAUAAGUAUAAAAGGGUCUAUACUCAUAAGAGUAUAGUAACCCUAACAUAUAUAUAUAUAUAUAUAUNNNNNNNNNNNNNNNNNNNNNNNNNNNNNNNNNNNNNNNNNNNNNNNNNNNNNNNNNNNNNNNNNNNNNNNNNNNNNNNNNNNNNNNNNNNNNNNNNNNNAAGAGAGAGAUCGGCGUUGAGUGUUAGUUUAGCGACUUUUUCGGUCAUAUUAGAAUUUAUUAGAGCUGUUGAUUUUGAGGUUUUAUUUGUGGAACUUGGGUUGGAUUUAUUUGUGAAUGUUGGGUUUUGGGAUUUACUCUUGUGGUUUGGAUUUUGAAUUUAUUUGUGACUUAUGUGUUUGAAAUUGUAUUGCUGGAUACUUUUGGGUUUGAAAUUUAUUUGUUAACUUGGGUUUGGGGGUUGGAUUAACUCCUCUGCUAUUUGAUUUGGGAUAACCAUUAAGGAUCUCAUAUUGUUUAAUACUUCUCGAGGUUGGUUUGGGCUGAAAUCCGUUAGACUUUGGUUCUGAACCCACAGACUUGUUUGGUUGAACACGUUAUGCUUAGGUUGGGAAUCAUCAAUGCUUUUUGAGUUUGAACCGACUUAUGACUUUAGCUUCGGUUCAUCAGAUUCUUCAUGGUUGGAUUUGCUGAGUCGGGUCCCUUCAUGGUUUUGUUCGAAUCGGAUCUCAUAUUCGAUUCGGGUGCGGACAUCCACCUUUGGUUCGAGCUCGCCAUCGCAUUGAACUCGAAUCAACUCAUAGUCGGUUCAAAUGUCGGAUCUUUGGUUCUGUUCGAUCGUGGACCUCUUCAUUUCGAUCGAUCCUAAUCGGGUGAACCGAAUCUCACGACUCGAGUCCUUUCAAGUUGAUCUUUUCGUUCACAGAUUGACGCUACUUCAUUCGAGUUGAUCUGUCAUGUUUGGAUUAAGCCACAUAUCGUUUCGAGUCGAUCCAUUAAUGGUCUUGUACUUGGAUUGAUUUACUUUGUUUGUGUUCUGACCGGUGUCGUCAGUUCGGAUUCACUUUAGGUUCAAGUUUGACUGUUCGGUCGUAUGACAGGGAUCUGGUUCGAUUCGGAGUCCGGUUCGGUUCAACUCGCAUCCUUUUCUCGGCUGUUGGAUGCGAUCCACUUGGUCGAUCGGAAUCGAUAUUCGCCUUCGGUAUCGAGUUUCAAGUCAAAUCUAUGAUUAUGGUUCAAGAAACGAACGUUCGGAUUCAACCGACAGAUCCUCUUGGUUAAUCGAAUUCCAUUAUGAUUUUGUCAGAACGGGAUCGGUUUCGUUUCAGCUUCGCGGUGACAGGUAAUCGUCUAAGUCGAAUCCUUUAUGAUCCGUUCAGUUCGAUCCGUUUCGUUCAGAUUCAAUCGGAUUCACCGCUUGGUUCAGAGUCGAUCUUUAAUGGUUUUCGGUUCGUUAGAUCCGUUCAGUUCGACAGAUCUCCGUUCACUUUAGUUUCAUUAAUCCUUUAUGGUUCUGUCCGGAUCGGAUCCGAUUCGGUUCGGAUCAGAUCGGAUUCACUUUAGUUCAAGUUGAAUCCUUUAUGGUUCUGUCCGGAUCAGAUCCACUUCGGAUCAAGUUGGAUCCAUUAUGAUUUGGUUCAGACGGGAUCCGGUUCGGUUCAGCUUGGAUCGGAUCCGCUUCGGUUCGAGUCGAAUCCUUUAUGAUUCUGUUCAGUUCGGAUCCGGUUCGGUUCAGUUCAGAUCGGAUUCACCUUGGUUCAAGUCGAAUCCUUUAUAGUUCGGUUCGGUUCGGAUUCGGUUCGGUUCGGAUCAGAUCGGAUUCACUUUAGUUCAAGUUGAAUCCUUUAUGGUUUUGUCCGGAUCAGAUCCACUUCGGAUCAAGUUGAAUCCAUUAUGAUUUGGUUCAGACGGGAUCCGGUUCGGUUCAGCUUGGAUCGGAUCCGCUUCGGUUUAAGUCAAAUCCCUUGUGGUUUGAUUCGGAUCGGACCCAUUUUAGUUCAGGUUGGAUCCUUCAUGGUUUGGUUCAAGUCAAACUAGCUUGUAGUUUGAUUUGGUUCGGUUAAUGUCUUUAAUGGUUCAAUUAGACUUAUUGAUUAGACUUGAUCGGCUUAUAAUCCGAUUUGAUUUAUCAUUAUGGUUUAGUUGACUCGGGUCUAGUCUAUCACGAAAACGACGACCCGGUUUAAUUGAACCGAACUCGGGUCAAGCCUAUAACGAAGACGGCGACCCGGUUUAAUUAAGCGAACCCGAGUCAAGCCUAUCAUGAAGACGGCGACCCGGUUUAAUUAAACGGACUCGGGUCAAGUCUAUCACGAAGACGACGACCCGGUUUAAUUAGUCGGACUCGGGUCAAGCCUAUCACGAAGACGGCGACCCGAUUUAAUUAAGCGAACCCGAGUCAAGCCUAAUCACGAAGACAGGCGACACCGGUUGUUAAUUAACGAAAUACCGGUCAAGGCUCUACACGAAGACCGGCGACCCGGUUUAAUUAACCGAUCCCGGAGUCCAAGGACCUACUCACGAAGACGGCGACCGGUUUAAAUGAACGCGAUCCCGGGUCCAAGCUACUCACGAAGACGGCGACCCGGUUUAUAAUGAACCGAACGAGUCAGCCUAUCACGAAGACGGCGACCCGGUUUAAUUAACCGGAUCCCACGGUCAAGCCUAUCACGAAGCACGAGCGACCCGGUUUAUUAACGAUCCGGGUCAAGCCCUAUCACGAAGACGGCGACCCGGUUUAAUUAACCCGAUCCCGGGUCAAGCCUAUUCACGAAGACGGCGACCCCGGUUAAUGAACCGAAACCCGGGUCAAGCCUAUCAACGAAGACGCGACCCGGUUUAAUUAACGGAUCCAGGUCAAGCCUAUCAGAAGACGGCGACCCCGGUUUAAUUAACCGAACCGAUGGUCAAGCUAUCACGAAGACGGCGCCGGUUUAAUGAUCCGAACUCGGGUCAAGCCUAUCACGAAGACGGCGACCAGAGAAAAAUAUUUGUUAUCAUUUUUUAUUAUUUUAUUUUUGUGUUCUCAUUUUGGUCCGAAUCGAAGUUCAACCGUGUCGAGCCUAUCACGAAGACGGCACUCGGUAUGAUCAUAAGUCCAAUGAGGGCAACGAUCCAACGUCGAGAUUGAAAGUGUUGAGCCUAUCACGAAGACGGCCGCUACUCAAUGAUAACAAGGAUCGUCAACCGUCGCAGUCGCCUCGUGCGCACAAUCUUUUCUUUUGAUGUUGAGGAGAGACGGGCUUAAUGAAUACGCGCGCAUGAUAUAGUAACGAUUGAAUGUCAAAUUUGAUCGGAAUCGACCUAUCACGAAGACGUCGUGUUGAUCAAACCGACAUAAAAUCGCGCAGCUAUAUCGUUUCACAUGUAUCACAAAACCCAUCGCCGUCGUAGAAAAGAAAAAAAAAGAGGCCGCUAAAUGGCCUCUUUGCGCGUCGUCGAAGUGCGUCGUUAGCGCGCCAUUGUCGACGUCGUCACCGUUUUGUCGUCGUUGUCGUCGCGCCAUUGUCGAAGUCGUCGCCCGCCACAUUAUCGUCGUCGUUGAAUAAAAGGCCAAGCUUCUCCUUCUUCCCCUUUUUUUGGUACGAUUUGGGGUGAGAGGUGUGCUCACAGCACCUCCCUCCCUUUGUUGCUGACGCGCGGCAGGAGGAGAGGGGCGAGUGUUGCCUUGUGAUGCACACGAUGGAGAGAAGAAAAAAGAAGAAAAGAAAACUUAUUAUUUUUGUUUUUUUUUUUUACCUUCUUUUUUUUCUUUAUCUCAACUUUUUCUUUUUUCUUUCUAGUUCCUCUCAAAAAAAAAAACACUUACAUCUUGGAUCCAAUUUAUAGGGAUCCAAAGAAUCAGUAUUAUUUUGGAAACAAAAUUCAAAUAAACCUCUAAAAAGGAAUUAUAUCAUUCCUUAUAGCUUAUAAGGAAUUUAAGUAUUUGAUACUAUUUUUAAAUCCUUCCUUAUUUUAUUUUAUUUGAAAUGACAAGAUUUUUUUUUUUUUUUUUUUUUUUUUUGCUUUUUUCCAUCUUUCUUCCUUUUUUUUUUUUUUGUUUGUUUUCUCUUUCUCUUUUUUUUUUUUUUUUUUUUUUUUUUUUAAUUCGAACAGUAGGUCUCAUAGGUCUCAUAUAAACUGAUCGAAAUUAGUAUCCCAUCCGAUGUGGGACUAUUGGGGCGUUACAAUAACUAAAAAAAAAAAGAGGAGCAAAAAACACAUGGAUCUAACCAAAACAUAUACAAACAAUUGUUGAGAUAAAACCCAGAAAACGUCUAAGCAUCAGGGGAAAUAAAAAAUCAGUGCAUAUCAAUUAAUAUAAAAGUCCAAACAGUCAAAGAGCAACAUCAUCAUAGGCAAAAACAAAAAAAGAGGGGAACAAAAAUACAUGCAUCUAUAUAACCAAAACAUGUGCAGACAAUUGCCGAGAUAAAACUUACAAAACCUCGAAGCAUCAAGAGGAAAAGUAAAAAAAACAAAGCAAAAAAAAUUUAGGUAAGCUUAGCUUUUCAAAAGCACAUAGUUAUGAUCAGUUGAAUUUUUUAUAGUUAUGAUCAGUUGAAAUAACAUUCAACAUUGCACGCCACUCACAAUAAAGCACCAACAUUUUUUGAUGUACGCAGGCUGCAAGAAUCGGCAUAAGAAUGGCCAACCCGCCAUGCCUUAGUAGAGUUUGUAGCAUUUAUUCUGAAAUUCAAACAUUUGCUAUGGAGAAGACCAACAUCAUAUACUCCACAAAACCAUUAAUUUAAUUAAUAACUAAAAUACACCAUUACUCAGAUUAUAGUAAAAAACUCUGCACCAACAGAAUAAAAAAACAAAUUUGUUUAGCCUUUCUUCUCCAACAAAUGAAAAGGUAAUAGCAGAAAAAUAAUUGCCAACAUCUUGCACUUCAAAACAAAACGAAAACACGAAACAAACCAAUGCGUAUCCAAGAAAAAUAAUAUACAAAAAAAGGGCUCAGAUAGAUUCAUAAAUCUGCAAUUUCAUGAUUUGUCUUUUGUAUAUAUGGAGUUGUAUUAUUUUCCUUUCUUUUUGCAUGAUUUGUUAGGUAUCCUUCAGAUUGGAUCUUAUAGUUUGAUAUGACUUAUCUGUUUUGCUUUACAAAACUUACUUUCGGAUUGUAUCUAAACAUAGAAGGGUGACAUCAGUGACAGCUUAUGGAUUUAAUUGAAUGAGCAUAAUUGAUAGGCCAGGAUAUUUCACUAUUACUUCAGUCACUUGGGAUUUGUUUUCUAGUUUUACGGGGUGCUUAGUCAAACUCAGAUAAGAGGCCAGAUUUAUUAGGCAUCCUUCAGAUUGGUUCUUAUAGUUUGAUACGGCUUAUCUGUUUUGAUUUUAAAAAUAUACUUUCGGAUUGUACCUAAACAUAGAAGGGUGACCUCAGUGACAGCUUAUGGACUUAAUUGAACGAGCAUAAUCGGUAGGCCAGGAUAUUUCACUAUUACUGCAAUCACUUGCGAUUUGUUUUCUAGUUUUAUGGAGUGCUUGGUCAAACUCAGAUCAGAGUCCAGUUAAAUAUUUUGGUUAAUUUAUGGACUUACCAUACGACAAAUUGCCAAGGUUAGGUUACCUAAGGAGAAGUCUCACGUACAGCUAUAUCUGUAGAUGGGUCCUGCUUGGAUGUAAGGCAAGGCGCAUCCAUCUUUUCUUAUGCAUCAGCUGCCAGUAAGCAAAGAUUUAUUUUCAGCUGACAAUUUGUUCUAAAAGACCUUUUAGAUAUCAGUUUAGAUUGUCAUGUGAAUAUUUUGAAAUGCAAUCGCAAUCAUAAGUGAAUCUUUGACACUUUUGUGAGACAUAUAAUCAACGCCAUGCUCGCACUUAAAGGUUUUUGAUUGGCUGGUGAUUUAUGAUGAGAAAAGCUAAUUUGCAAGCAUAAAUGUGAUAUCAAAAUAAUAUAUACUUUACAUACAGAUUGUAUUGCAUAUACAUUUUUUUUAAAAGAAAUUCGAGUAUGCACCCCUUUCUUUUCCAAGAAAUAGGAUUGAAUGAUAGCAUGUACUUAUUUCUUGUACCUCUGCAGUAAAUUUUCACAAUUCCAAAUUUUGAGAAGAAUCAAAAGGCAUAAACUUAUACGACAUGAAUGAUUGCAAAUCUUGUAGCGGAACCUCUAUUUGUCCAAGUAGGAAUAAAAUGUUAUUCAAACCAUUUCAAUUGCGAGCUAUCAAUUUGCUAUCAAUUUAUAUGUUUUUUUUCUUUUUUUGGUUCUCACUCACUUCUUUUAAGGCGAUAGUAUCAUAUAGUAAGUAUUUUAUUCUUCAUACUAAUUAUUUAUAUACAAUUUUGUUGGCUUUUUUUUUAGUGUUGAGAUUCUAAUCCUGAAAAUGGUUUUAGAAGAUAAGAAUGCGGCCUCAGUUGGAAGACCUUGGUCCAACCUUGCAACACAUAUUCUUGAGUUGAUUUCAUCCCAGCUCUCUCCAUCUGAUCGUUCCCACUUUGCUUUAACUUGCAAGCAGUGGAAUUCAGUUGUUGGUCCUACUUUUCCUGCUGAUAUAUGUCCACUUUUGCUAAACUGUCCAAGAUGGGGUUCCAAUGUGAUCCGGUACUACAGUCCUUAUUUCAACAAGAAUUUUGAACUAGAUUGUCCCUUUGACUUGUCAGGUGCCACAUUAUGUUCUUCAAGCAAUAGGUGGCUGACGUUAGGCUGGGAAAAUAAGAUUAUGUUAGCUGACCCUUUCACUGGCAUCUCACAUGAGGUACCAUUGGAGGAGGUAUUUCUUUUCUCUCAAUAUGGUUUUUUUUGGGAUCCGAUUACUUCGAAACUCCAAAUCUUCGGCAUUAGUAACGGUGGCUAUGAAAAUGUUGAUAUUGGUAUUUUUGAUGGUGAAAGUUGGUUCUGGUCUACAUACGAGAGUGGUCUACCAUUCUUUGUCUUCACACUCUAAUCCAGUUUUGUGCCGAGGCAAUUUUUAUUCCCUAGGAUCAGGUGGAGAGUUGGGAGUGUACAAUCUAAAAGAGGAUACAUGGACAGUUCUAAUGACUAAGCCUAACAAGUUCAGUUAUGAAGAAUGCUACCUAGUUGAGUCAGAGGGAGAGCUCUUUUCGGUACUCAUUGGAAAGUAUGGAUUACCUCUUCAUGUUCUUCGUCUUGAUGAACGCGAGAUGAUGUGGGAAAAGGUUGAAAGAUUAGAGGGGCGAAGUCUUUUCUUGGGAUCACUCACAUCGGUUUCUAGUAAUAGUACCACAUUGGAAAGCAUGGAAAAUAAAGUGUUUUUUCCAAGGUUUCAUGGUGAUGUUGAAGUCAUUCGCGCAAAAGUAAAGUACUCUAGUGGCCGCUCAUUUUUUGUACCGAAGAUGAAUGGAGAGAACAAGAGAAAAGAUGAAUCUAAUAUAUGUUGGUACUCAUUAGCAGAUGACAAAUUUCAUCUCAAAUAUUUUGUGUCCAAAAAAUACGUGAACAGCAUAUGGAUUGAUUCUAUAGUUGCAAGUGAUUAAACUUGAGGGCAGCCUUUUUAUUUUUCGAUACCUUUAGGACAGGUUUGCUAUAGAAUCUAAAAGCUUGGAAUUCUUAAAUUUUAGAAUGUAUGCUGUGAACAAUCACGAAAUAGUUUUUACCAGCCAUUUCAAUUUUAUUUUAUCACUAGUUCGAUCAUUUCGGGUCCAAAAAUAGUAAUACUGUAUUUUAAAUCUAGUACCUUUAGUAGUGCUAUGUGUAAGAAGUGAUGUAACUUUUUUUUUAAUAGGAGAAAAUAAUACUAAGCUAAAUGUGUACUAUUCUUGCAUUGUUGUUUGAUUUAUGCUUGUAAGCAAAUGGAACUUUAUAACUGACCUUGACGAAGUAACUUGUUUGGUCAGAAGCUGAUUGGAUAGAAUCAAUUUAUAUGAGAUAGAGGGGAUAAAGUUGUUUUUGGUCAUAAAUGUUCUCUUAUGUUACUUGAUUUGUCAUAAAUUAAUUUUUUUUGCAACAUCACAUUUUCGAAACUCGAACUUCACUCCGGAUAAUGUCAAAGUCAAUUAUGAAAAAGUGAUAUGAAAAAAUAAGUAAAAUUUUAAGUAAAUAAAUAAAGAUGUGGGAUAAUUGCAAUUUGAAAGCCAUAGACUUCUUAUCAAAUAAAAAAUAGUAGAGAAAAAAAAUUUCUUGAAUUUCAGUUUAAUUGAAAUUUAUUUUCAACUUGAAAAUUAUUUUUGGACAAACGGUCAAAACUUCAUCACCUUAAUAAUAUUUUCCAUUUAUUCAAAUAAAGCUCCCAAUUUCACAAUUGACACGGCCCUGGCAAUCCAAGAGGGGGGUUGAAUUAGGUUUCUAAAAUAAAAAGCCAAAUAAUCAAGCAAUUUAAAAAUCCGAAACAAAUAAUAAAGAGAGGAGUUUAAAGAAAUGCAAACUCAAAAGGCACACAAUCGAUUUGUUUCGAGGUUCGGCACUUUGCCUACGUCCCCGCCAACUUCUCAACACUAGAGAAUGUUGGAUCUCCACUAGAUAAUAUUUUUGGAGGCAAGCACCAAGCCUUCACACCAACACAUUCUUCUUUUCAAACUCCAAGACUUUGCUUUUCUCUCUUUUUACAAGAUUAAAUUUCACUACAAAUUGCACUCAAGUUUAGAGAGAGAAUUGAAAGCUAAAAGUAUUACCGUAAACAUGAUUUCGGGCGCCCAGAUGUUGUGCACGUGCACUCUACUUCCAGCUGCCUGUCAGACAAUGUACGCUACUUUUUCUGGAUUCGUACAUUCGGGCCUUCAGAAUUUGUGGGCGCCCAGAAUAUGCGCGCUGACUUUUCUGACAUAGAUAGACCACGUGCGCCGUUUUCUCUGAGCGGAAUCAUUUUGGGCUUCCAGAAGAUGUGGGUGCCCAGAUUUCCAGCACGCGCGCUGCCUGCGUCGCGUCGUGCCGCCUCAGAACUUUUCGGGCUGAUCCGUCGUACUGUCCGGAACACACAAUCUGUCAAGUCAAAUAAUCCGGUCGCCCUAAACAGACAUUCGGGCGCAAAAAUCAGGUAAAGAAAUUUCUGAACCACCCAAACAGCAAACAGGCAUGAUCCAAAAACACAUGAGAUUCAGAUCCACUUUAGGGUGCCCAGAACAGAGUCUAGAAACAGUAACUAGACAGAAAACUGAUUUUGAGCAGAUUUUGAAUAUUUUAAGAACCGAUGAACUUUAUAAGAAGAUCUUUGGAUAAGAUUCACUUUGAAUCAAAUAGAUAUUUGUUCAAGUGAGCUAUGAUAAAAAGAUCAAACUUAGCUCAAAGUUUCUCACUCUAAUCAUAAAGCAUAAUAUUAAUCAAAUUAAGAAAUAGAGAGAGUGAGUUUGUCUAUUUGACUGUAACAUACCAGAUUUUGGUAUAAAAAUAAAAAUAAAUAAAAAUAGUGUGAGAUACUAUUUUCGUUCGACUUAGAGAAGUAAAACAUAAGUCAGAAAUGACUUGUGCUGAAAUCGAAAUGAAAACAGAAGAUCUAGAAUUUUCUGUUGGAAACGGGACAGAUAAAUUAGCAGAAAAUGCACAGUCUCAGAAAAUUAUGAAAAUUGGAAGAUAAGUCAAAAAUAUUUUUAUGAGGCUAGAUUUAAAGUUUCAUAUUUUUCUGGCACCCGUAGAGUGAGAAAUAAAAUCCGACAGCUAUCUGAUAAAGAUUACAGUUCGGUACAGUUUUCAGUGACCAAAUGAGGUCGAAACUGAAAACUUAAGAUAUAUUCUUACUCAGUACGUUAAACUGAGCCUGCCUGUCAAAUUUGAGCUCAAACGGACAUUCAGAAGAGCUCCAACUAUUCCGAACUGCUAAACUGCUGCCCGAGGUGAAUAGUGUAAUAGUUGAGGGGCUGAUUUGUAAAAAGGGAUUUAAUCCCUUUUCUUCUUCUCCACCUCAGCCGAAUGCGCACACACACACACGCCACACACACGCAAGGAGAGGGAGGAAGAGAACUCUCCUUUCUCUCUCUAAAUCUCUCCCAAAAGAGAGGGUUUUGGUGGCGAUUGAAGCUCAAGGAUGGAUUUUCAUCUUUCCCAUCUUCUUCCUUGAAUGAGAAGCAAGCUUUGAAGGUAAGCUCCAAAACCCUUUAAUGGUAUCUCCUUGUAGUUUGGGUUUUAAGCUUCAAGAAUGGAUUUAGAGCUAUUCUAGCAUGCUAAAUAGGUGAUUGUUGCUUAAAUCAUGGAUCAAUUUAAUGAUUUCUUGCCUAGUUGUAAAUCUAGAACUUGAAAUGAGCUUUUUGAACCCUCUCAUGGUAGAUCUUUAAAGCUUCAUUUAUAAUCCAUAGAAAUGGUAUAUUUGGAAUCCUAGCAUGCUAAAUAGAGGAUAAAUACUAGAAUCUAGGAUCAAUUUAGUUAACUCUUGCAAUAGAUGAAACCUAGGGUUCAAAAUGCAAUUUUUGGAAAUAUGAGGGUUUGAUCUCAUUUGACCCUUUAUAAACAUAAUUGCUAGGUAAACGAACGCGCUGGCGAAGUCGGUUCGGCGAUUCGUCGAGCCGGUACGAAGUUAUUAAAGAAACGGACGUUUAGGCUUCAUUUCCGCCUGCAGGGCUGAGCGACAUCGUAUACUCAUGAAAACGGAUUUGAAGCAUCGUGGCACGGAUCGGGCCAAACCGGAUGCCGGGUGCCGCGGGAGGCCGAUUGCAAGUGUCGACAAGUAAUCGGAUUGCGAAAUGAGGUGGGUUGUGCUCAUCGAAGCGACUAGGUCGCCUAUAUAUCUAAGAGUAAUGGUUUUCUAAUUGAUGCAUAUAGUUUAUGUUAUUUACUGUUGAGAUAAAAUGCAUAAUGACAUAUAAUGUGUUAAAUGCUAGAUGAAUGCAUGAGUUAAUUGUCACAUGAAUGCAUGAAAAUAAUGUUAUAGUAAUAUGUUAGAGGUAAUAUGCAUGUUGAUAAAUUAUGGAACAUGUUGGAUGGCAUAUGAAUAGUUGGUAUAUAUAUGUAGACAUAUUGUGGAAUAUGAUGAAUGAGUGCAUGUUGAUUUAUUGUAGAAUAUACAAGAUGAAUGUAUAUUGACAUAUUGUGGAUUAUGUUAAAUGACACAUGCAUGUUGAACUUGGAUCGAUAAACUCUAGGUGAAUUAGAGAACUCGACAUUGGAAAACAAUGACAUAUGAACUAUGAUAUGUGACGUGGACAAUCUAUAUAUAUUAGAUCGAAUGGCAUAUGAUUAGUAUAGUGGAAACACUUAUGGCAUGUUGAACACUUAGAAAAUACGUGUGUCAUGAGUCCAAGAAUAUAGUAGUGCAUAUGACACAAAUGAUAGUAAAAAAUGCAAAGAAAAGAAUGAUUGAAAUAUUAUGACAUUUUAAUCCUAGAGUUUAGGGUCAUUUGAGCAUAGUCUUCCUAAAGUUAAGGAAUUGAUUAAACUUGGAGUCCUCAAAUGUAGGAUUGAUCAUACUCACUUUUAGUCCUUGCUCGAGGUUGUGGUAGCUCCCCCUCGGGCGAUGUGCUCCGGAGACAACAUCACUGGGUAUAGCGAGUAUCUCCCCAGAGGACCGUCCCAUCGGGUGUAGCGAGUAUCUCCCCGAUUAUUGGGAUUUUGAGUUGGUGAGUUUGUUGAGGGCGAAAUCUUCGGGUUAGCCAAGAGAUUGGGUAACAAGCACAUGAGUUGUAGCAAUAUCCUAGUUGAGUGGACUUAAGGCUGAGGUGCAAGUGAGACGUCCUUCGCCUCGAGCCUGGCUUUACGCGGUACUCCGCGAAUGAUUGACUCGAGACCGAGUCGGGUGGAUAGUUGAUAAAGGUAAAUGGGACCAUAUGAUCAGAAUUGUAAUUAAUAUGAAUUUAAAAUAGUGGAAUAACUUCGAAGUCAAUUAAAUGAGCUUUGAAUAGCAGGAUUAAAGUAGUAUCGAUUGAACUACUAAUUGGUUGCAUAAAUCGCAUGAUUUUCAUAUUGCAUGGUUGUGAGGCAUGACAUGUAUUUCAAUUAUCAUAUAUAUAUAUAUAUAUAUAUAUAUAUAUAUAUAUGUGUUGGAUAUUUGUUGGACUAACAUGUUGCAGUGCCUCCUUGGACCUGUGGGUCGAGCUCUUCCCUUGGGUGGUCGUACCCACUGGGAACAUAUUUAUAUAGUUAUCACCCCUGUGUUGUUUUUGGGGGUACAGGUUCCCACGUGAGGGGCGCGGCGGCGCGAGGAGAGGGCGUAGCUCCGUAGAUAGCGCCCUACCACCGAGACCAGAGAUAGCGGUACCCUGAGUCGGCCUUUACUUAGGGAUGUAAGAAAACGAAAAGAAUCAAGUUGUAAUAAUUUUGAUUGUAUUUGGAAGUUAAAUGUAAUAAGUAUUUGUGAUGUAAAAUGUAUCUAGUGAUUGAGAAUGCUUGUAAUAGCAAGUAGAUUAUGUUAUUGAUCCUUCCUUAUGCAAUCUUUGAUUGAAAUGUGUUCCUAGUUGGAACUUCGUACAUUGUAUCGAUUGCGACGCCUUAAACGUACAGGGGAGACUCUGUCCGCGGUACCGGAGAAAUCCUGUCCAUUCGGCGGUUUGUCGGCGUGCCUAAAACUGACCAAAUAGGCAGGCUCGGGGCGUGACAUUGACAAAAGAAACAAGCAUAGCUUCAAGUAGUGAAGCUCGGUGCUAGAAGAUUGCUCAUCUUGAGUCCUUUUGAAAAUAGAGAGAUUUAAGACACAAAACUCAAGAUAAAAGAUUAGUCCAAUAAUCGUAAUUAUUUGUUAUCAUCAAAAUCUAAUGAAAGAUUAGGGCCAUUAGGCCAACACUAUCCCU